UUAAAUGACUUCCUCAACUUUUAAUUAAUAUGUUAACAGAAGAGAGUGAUGGAGAGAGAGUUCAGCAGCUACAACAAAUGAUACCCUUGAAAGACAUUCUCCAGCAGAACAUUUCUUAUUUAACUUGUUUUGUAGUCAUUUUUACAAUAUGCAACAGAAUCAAAGCCAAAAAUAUUGCGUUGUUUAAAUUUUAGCACACUUACUCCAAGCUAAGGAUCUCUGAAGGUUUUGCUUAUUUCCAUUUUUCGUAUGUGUUGUACAUUCAUAUACAUAUGUAUAUUUUUCAAAAUUUUAAAAACCUCACCUUUUGAAUCAGUCGCAUUUCUUCACUUGACCAUCUGUUCGUGGAGUAUCAAGAGCAAUAGUAUGCAUACGUAUUUCAACUACUGUGCAAAAUCUAUGUGGCUCGGGCUUUCCACUUUCGCCAACUGAAUUCGGCUUUUCAGUAUCUUAACUAAAUUGGAACUUAUCGGUUCGGUGCGACUGUAACGAAAUGAAAUUCUGCUACUAAGCAGAAACAUUGCACGAGUUUUGGGGAAAACAGCGAAGGCGGAUUCUUGAGCACACGAGAAGCAGCGAUACCGUAGAGUCAUUUGGUUUCACUGUGACGUAACGACAGAUUGUUUUAGUAUUAGUAAAAUAAACAAAAAAUUAAUUUUUUAAAAGCCGGUUCCCAGCGAAGCUUUUCAGUAUUCAUUUGCAUGCCAGAGAGAAUAGUCAAUUUACACACGUACACAAGUACACCAAGCGUUUGAGUGCCGGAAUUCUAAUGUUGUGAAAACGGUUCAUCAGCGUCCGAGUUAAAAAAAUAUAUUUGCGAGUGUGCCAAAUAGUGAACGUCAUUAAUUGUCAUAUUUAUUAUACUUAGCAACGAAGCAAAGACCACAACAAAAUUAAAUUGGUCUAUACAGUACUUGUAAUUUACUAUCCGUUUAACGAACGUUAAAAGAGGUGAAUAAUAACGCAAUAAUAAGUGAAAAUUGAAUUAAAUAUUUGUAACUAUAAAAUAAUAUAAAUAAUCAGCUAUUAUAAUCAGUUAAUAAUCGCAAGCGCAAUAAACAAAUUCAAUAUGACUUCAACAAAAUUUAUUGCAAUUCUGCCUCAGCCUACACAGGCGGGGGAUAAAAUUAAAAUUAGUGGAAAAAUUACUGACAAUGCAGAGGAGUUUUCUAUCAACUUUGCGAACGAAGUCAACGAAGAUCCACAAUCAAUCGCUUACCAUUUCAAAUGGGAUCUUGCUAAUAAAACGAUAGUCGAGGACUACAAAGAGGAUAGCAACUGGAUGGACCGCAUAGAUACAAAACUCGAUGCAUUCAAUGGUCGGUUAAAGAAUAGUCUAAUGCAUUCUAAUAAAGCUUUUAAUGAUAACAUAAACAGCGACUUUCUGGGCGCUAAAUCAUUGGCGAAUACAGCUGACGCUUCUAUAAAUUGUAAUUCGUAUUUUCUUUUAGGGCCGGAAUUUACCCUAGAAUUUUCAUUCUUACAAGAUGACAUCUGUGUGUACUUGAUCGGUGAAGAUGGCCCAAAUUAUGUUUCCCAAUAUCAACCUAAAAGUGAUUUUCAAUGUAUUGAGUCCGUUCAAGUGUGGGGCGAUGUGGAGAAAAUCUCUCAGCUAACAUUCUCAUAUAAUUAGACGCGAUUUUGCGCUUUAAGAGUUUACCAAAAUAUAUAUGUAUGUAUGUACAUUGUUAAACAAAGGCUAUUACACCUCUAUAGCUGGAAGAAAUGUUAGUAUGAACAAUAAUAAUUUGUAAUUUGCUUAAGCUUGAGUUCCUGCAAAAAAUUACGACAUAGAAAUUUUCAUUUAAACGCACCUCAUUAUCCUUUACUGAUUCGCGAAUCUGCUUUUUCCAUCUAAUCUAGUAGUAGUUAUAUAUGUACACAUAAGUAUGUUGGAAAAUUGCAGUCCCAUUGCGCCUGACACCUUGGCACCAGCUGCUGGCACUGCAAGAAUCUCGUCGAAAGUUAUUCACAACGCCCAUGUGCAAGCGGCAAGCGACAAACUUUGUUUGAGUUAUUGAGCAAGCAUAGCAUACGCUUGUUUGUACGGAUGCAUGCAUACCAACUUCCGCUUGAAUUUGUUUGUUCUCCACUCAGCAAUUUUCCAGAAAGCGUGAGAUACCUUGUACGUAAGCUUGCCUAACACCUCGCUGCCUUCUAAGCUGCUAAGUUUUCCUUAAGUUAGUGCUAAGCAUACAACACCAGUAAUUUAUUUAAUAAUUUAAUUAACAGAAAUUAAAUUAACACAAACUAAAAACACAAAAACGAAAUACAAAUCAAUUUUAAAUACCAAAGAUCAAAUUUAUGUGAAAACCAUAGAUAUAAGUAACAUUAAUUACAAAAAAAAACCGUUAAUGCCUUGUGAACCUUUGGACCUUGCUCUAUAUGUGAACACAAAAUAUAAUAAACAUAUGAGUAAACAUAAAUUAUUGAUUAUAUUAUAAAACAGGGAGUUGAUAUUUCCAAAGCUUUUAAUGAGAUACUUUAAGCCAUAUACAUCUAAUCCAUAUUAUUGUACGUCAUGACUGUGUAACUCUUUGUUAAUUAGACUAAGUACUUACGGUUUCAACACCAAGUAGAAUACUUUUCAUAAGGAAGACAAUGUAAAGAAAAAUUUGGGAAAUUUUAACUUUACUGCAAAAUUGUUCCAUUGCUGUGUUCAUUUGUAUUAAGUUUGUUUUGAUUUUAACUAAAGCAGUAAUUUCUGGAAUUUUUAUAUUCUAACAGAGAAAACUGCAUCCCAAUAUUGAAUUAAAAUGAGAAAUAUUUAUUUAUACUCUAUUUCCACGGCACUGAAAUUUCAGAUUUCGGCAAAUCCCGAGAAUUGAAACUCUCUCAUCUGGUGGCUAUCUAAUGUCUGAAUUUACCCGGACGAGAAUGAGGGUGAGAGAAAACUUAAUCUAGUUCAUAUUACCCAUUUAAACCCAAGCACAGAAGUACUUACACAUUUCGAUGUCGAGAACUCAUAUUUUAGGGCAGUGCGAAUUUAGAUAAAAUAUAUCGAGUAUAUCGCAAAUCGUCAAGUAAUUGAACAAUUCUGCUUUUGACCACAAAACUUUAAUUUUAAAUUAUGGCCAAAUUGAGUUGCGAAAUUUGUAUAUGCGCCUAUGUCCAAAGAUUGUUUAAAAAAUUGUUUGCUGUAUAGAAAUUUAUUAUAAAAUAAAAAGGUGUAGAAAUUUCAUUUAAAUUAUAUAUGUAUGAGUGUAAAUAUUUUAUAAUGUAACCGUGCUCAGAUUUUAAAACUUGCCAGUUCCAAAUAAUGCAUGUUGCAAAAAUUCUUACCAAUAUUUACUUAUUUAUAUACUUAAAUGCAUUUAACAAUCAACAAUCGUAUUUUAUUUAUUUAUUUAUUAUGUAAGGAAUGACUCCCAUGAUGUUAACAGAUAUUGCAUAAUUACUAUAUAUAUUGUAAAAAUAAACAAAUAAAAUUAUUCUACAAUAUAUUCCUGAAAAUCCUGUUAAAAAAAUAUUAUUUAUGAAAACUACUCCUACAAUAAAAUUCUUGCCUUCAUAUUCAUAGGUACAUGACGAACUUUAUGGUUAACUGGUUAGAACUUAUUGUUCUUUAUCUUUCUUUUGUUCAAAAAUAAAAUCGUUCGAACAGUUAUCCCGAUAAAGAUUUCGUAAUAUUGAUAUUAUCUAAUCUAAUCUAAUAAAACUCUCGAGUCAUAGUGUUUGUGACCAAAUUCCUCCGAAGCG
rnacentral:misc_RNA from 1 species